AUUGAACGCUGGCGGCAGGCCUAACACAUGCAAGUCGAACGAGUGGCGGACGGGUGAGCAAUGUCCGGGAAACUGCCUGAUGGACGGGGAUAACUACUGGAAAAGGUAGCUAAUACCGCAUACCAUCAGAUGUGCCCAGAUGGGAUUAGCUAGUAGGUGGGGUAACGGCUCACCUAGGCGACGAUCCCUAGCUGGUCUGAGAGGAUGACCAGCCACACGGGAACUGAGACACGGUCCAGACUCCUACGGGAGGCAGCGGUGGGGAAUAUUGCACAAUGGGCGCAAGCCUGAUGCAGCCAUGCCGCGUGUGUGAAGAGGGCCUUCGGGUUGUAAAGCACUGUCAGCGGGGAGGCGUUACCCGCAGAAGAAGCACCGGCUAACUCCGUGCCAGCAGCCGCGGUAAUUC
rnacentral:rRNA from 1 species